UACGAAGGGUGCAAACGUUAUUCGGAUUCACUGGGCUUAAAGCGUGCGUAGGCGGUGAUGUUAGUCAGGUGUGAAAGCCCUCAGCUCAACUGAGGAAUUGCGCUUGAUACUGCAUGACUAGAGAAUGAUAGAGGUGGGUGGAACUGAUGGUGGAGCGGUGAAAUGCGUUGAUAUCAUCAGGAACACCAGUGGCGAAGGCGACCCACUGGGUCAUUUCUGACGCUGAGGUACGAAAGCUAGGGUAGCGAACGGG
rnacentral:rRNA from 1 species